AUACUGCAAGUCGAACGCUUUUUCUUUCACCGGAGCUUGCUCCACCGAAAGAAAAAGAGUGGCGAACGGGUGAGUAACACGUGGGUAACCUGCCCAUCAGAAGGGGAUAACACUUGGAAACAGGUGCUAAUACCGUAUAACACUAUUUUCCGCAUGGAAGAAAGUUGAAAGGCGCUUUUGCGUCACUGAUGGAUGGACCCGCGGUGCAUUAGCUAGUUGGUGAGGUAACGGCUCACCAAGGCAACGAUGCAUAGCCGACCUGAGAGGGUGAUCGGCCACACUGGGACUGAGACACGGCCCAGACUCCUACGGGAGGCAGCAGUAGGGAAUCUUCGGCAAUGGACGAAAGUCUGACCGAGCAACGCCGCGUGAGUGAAGAAGGUUUUCGGAUCGUAAAACUCUGUUGUUAGAGAAGAACAAGGAUGAGAGUAAAAUGUUCAUCCCUUGACGGUAUCUAACCAGAAAGCCACGGCUAACUACGUGCCAGCAGCCGCGGUAAUACGUAGGUGGCAAGCGUUGUCCGGAUUUAUUGGGCGUAAAGCGAGCGCAGGCGGUUUCUUAAGUCUGAUGUGAAAGCCCCCGGCUCAACCGGGGAGGGUCAUUGGAAACUGGGAGACUUGAGUGCAGAAGAGGAGAGUGGAAUUCCAUGUGUAGCGGUGAAAUGCGUAGAUAUAUGGAGGAACACCAGUGGCGAAGCGGCUCUCUGGUCUGUAACUGACGCUGAGGCUCGAAAGCGUGGGGAGCGAACGGAUUAGAUACCCUGGUAGUCCACGCCGUAAACGAUGAGUGCUAAGUGUUGGAGGGUUUCCGCCCUUCAGUGCUGCAGCAAACGCAUUAAGCACUCCGCCUGGGGAGUACGACCGCAAGGUUGAAACUCAAAGGAAUUGACGGGGGCCCGCACAGCGGUGGAGCAUGGUGGUUUAAUUCGAAGCAACGAAAACCUUACCGGUCUGACCUACUCUAAUGAGCUUCCCCGGGGGCAAGGACAGGUGGCAUGCUCAGUAAUUGGUCCACCCCUUGUACUCUUGGCUA
rnacentral:rRNA from 1 species